rnacentral:rRNA from 1 species
UACGGAGGGUGCAAGCGUUAUCCGGAUUUAUUGGGUUUAAAGGGUCCGUAGGCGGUCUAGUAAGUCAGUGGUGAAAGCCCAUCGCUCAACGGUGGAACGGCCAUUGAUACUGCUGGACUUGAAUUAUUGGGAAGCAACUAGAAUAUGUAGUGUAGCGGUGAAAUGCUUAGAGAUUACAUGGAAUACCAAUUGCGAAGGCAGGUUGCUACCAAUUGAUUGACGCUGAUGGACGAAAGCGUGGGUAGCGAACAGG